CUUUGGGGCAUUGAGGGCGAGAGUGUACGACGACGAAGUGAGGAAGUGGGUGACCACAAUCGGGAUAGAGAACGUCGGGGGCAAGCUGGUGAACUCGAGGGACGGGCCGCCGACAUUCGAGCAGCCGAAGAUGACGUUGGAGAAGCUUCUAGAAUACGGGUUCAUGCUGGUGCAGGAGCAGGAGAAUGUCAAGAGGGUGCAAUUGGCUGAGACAUACUUGAAAGAUGCUGCUUUGGGAGAGGCCAACAAAGAUACCAUUGACCGAGGGAUUUUCUACGGUUAGUCGCGAAAAUCUCGUGUCAGACUGUCUAACGGCAGUCAUAAUUGCAUAUACAUUUAGACAGUCUGACAUAAAUUUUCAACGUUUUUUUCUUUUUUGGUGCAGGCAAGGCGGCUCAGCAGGUCAAUGUUCCGGUGCCGGAAGGGUGCACGGACCCGAACGCGAAGAACUUCGAUCCAACGGCGAGGAGCGAUGAUGGGAGCUGCACGUACAAACUCUAAGAAGUUUUUGUAACUCUUUUUU
rnacentral:lncRNA from 1 species